rnacentral:rRNA from 1 species
CUGUCGAAGGCGGGACGGAUAACUGGGGUGAAGUCGUAACAAGGUAGCCGUAUCGGAAGGUGCGGCUGGAUCACCUCCUUUCUAAGG